rnacentral:rRNA from 1 species
CGCCUAUUAGCUAGCCCAACCCCUUAACACAACAAACCCCUAUUCAUAACCCCUAAAGCACGAAAUACCCACGUGGCUAAACCAUUCUCCCCCCUAAGUCCAGGCGAUAAAAAAGGAAAUUUUGGAGCAAUAGAAAUAGUACCGCAAGGGAAAGCUGAAAGAGAGAUGAAAGAGCCCAGUAAAGCUUAGAAAAGCAGAGCUUAAAACUCGUACCUUUUGCAUCAUGAUUUAGCUAGCACUUUCAAGCAAAGAGAACCUAAAGUUUGUAACCCCGAAACUGAGUGAGCUACUCCAAGACAGCCUAUUUAUAGGGCGAACCCGUCUCUGUGGCAAAAGAGUGGGAAGAGCUUUGAGUAGAGGUGAUAAACCUACCGAACUUAGUUAUAGCUGGUUGCCUGUGAAUUGAAUAGAAGUUCAGCCCCCUGGAUUCUCCACUCAUGCACUUAAUUAACCCUUCAGAUGCAAUGAGAAACCAGGGAUGUUAGUCAAAGGGGGUACAGCCCCUUUGAUACAAGACACAACUUUCCCAGCAGGAUAAAGAUCAUAUUCAAAUAAGGACAGAUGUUUUAGUGGGCCUAAAAGCAGCCACCUUUACAGAAAGCGUUAAAGCUCAGACAUGA